rnacentral:rRNA from 1 species
CAGCCGUAAACAAUGUGCGUUAGGUGUGUCGGUAACCACGCGUUACUGAUGCGCCGAAGAGAAAUCGUGAAACGCACCACCUGGGAAGUACGGUCGCAAGGCUGAAACUUAAAGGAAUUGGCGGGGGAGCACCACAACAGGUGGAGCCUGCGGUUUAAUUGGACUCAACGCCGGGAAGCUCACCGGAUAGGACAGCAGAAUGAUUGCCGGGCUGAAGACCCUGCAUGACUAGCUGAGAGGAGGUGCAUGGCGUAGACGUCU